GGAAUAUUGGACAAUGGGGGAAACCCUGAUCCAGCCAUGCCGCGUGUGUGAAGAAGGCCUUUUGGUUGUAAAGCACUUUAAGCAGUGAAGAAGACUCUGUGGUUAAUACCCACAGACGAUGACAUUAGCUGCAGAAUAAGCACCGGCUAACUCUGUGCCAGCAGCCGCGGUAAUACAGAGGGUGCAAGCGUUAAUCGGAAUUACUGGGCGUAAAGCGAGCGUAGGUGGCUUGAUAAGUCAGAUGUGAAAUCCCCGGGCUUAACCUGGGAACUGCAUCUGAUACUGUUAGGCUAGAGUAGGUGAGAGGAAGGUAGAAUUCCAGGUGUAGCGGUGAAAUGCGUAGAGAUCUGGAGGAAUACCGAUGGCGAAGGCAGCCUUCUGGCAUCAUACUGACACUGAGGCUCGAAAGCGUGGGUAGCAAACAGGAUUAGAUACCCGGG
rnacentral:rRNA from 1 species